rnacentral:rRNA from 1 species
UAACGAAUCUUCCGCAAUGCACGCAAGUGUGACGGAGCGACGCCGCGUGUGGGACGAAGUUCUUCGGAAUGUAAACCACUGUCAGGGGUUAGAAAGUUCUGAUCAACCCCAGAGGAAGGCACGGCUAACUCUGUGCCAGCAGCCGCGGUAAGACAGAGGUGCCGAGCGUUAGGCGGAAUCACUGGGCUUAAAGCGUGUGUAGGUGGAUGCCUAAGUACCUUGUGAAAUCCCACGGCUUAACCGUGGAACUGCUUGGUAUACUGGGUGUCUUGAGCCAGCUAGGGGCUACCGGAACAAAUGGUGGAGCGGUGAAAUGCGUAGAUAUCAUUUGGAACGCCAAUGGUGAAAACAGGUAGCUGGGGCUGUGCUGACACUGAGACACGAAAGCCAGGGGAGCGAACGGGAUUAGAUACCCGCGUAGUCC